rnacentral:rRNA from 1 species
UCGCCAGACUCCUACGGGAGGCAGCAGUGAGGAAUAUUGGUCAAUGGCCGAGAGGCUGAACCAGCCAAGUCGCGUGAGGGGGGACGGCCCUACGGGUUGUAAACCUCUUUUGUCAGGGAGCAAGGGACAGGUCGUGACCUGUUGUGAGAGUACCUGAAGAAAAAGCAUCGGCUAACUCCGUGCCAGCAGCCGCGGUAAUACGGAGGAUGCGAGCGUUAUCCGGAUUUAUUGGGUUUAAAGGGUGCGCAGGCGGAGGCAAAAGGCAGGGGAAAAAUCGGGGGGCUCAACCCCGCUCCGCCGUUGAAACUGUGUCCCUUGAGUGCGCGAAGGGUAGGCGGAAUGCGUGGUGUAGCGGUGAAAUGCAUAGAUAUCACGCAGAACUCCGAUCGCGAAGGCAGCCUACCGGCGCGCUACUGACGCUCAUGCACGAAAGCGUGGGUAUCGAACAGGAUUAGAUACCCUGGUA